rnacentral:rRNA from 1 species
GACGUAGGAGGCGAGCGUUGUCCGGAGUUACUGGGCGUAAAGGGCGCGCAGGCGGCCUGGUGCGCCGGGGGUGAAAGGCGGUGGCUCAACCACCGGACGGCCCCCGGGACGGCCAGGCUGGAGGGUGGCAGAGGUCGGUGGAAUUCCCGGUGUAGUGGUGAAAUGCGUAGAGACCGGGAGGAACACCCGCGGCGAAGGCGGCCGGCUGGGCCAACCCUGACGCUGAGGCGCGAAGGCCCGGGGAGCGAAC